rnacentral:rRNA from 1 species
CAGCCGCCGCGGUAAUACGAAGGUGGCAAGCGUUACUCGGAAUUACUAGGCGUAAAGGGCAGGUAGGUGGUUUGAUAAGUCUGUUGUGAAAGCUCCUGGCUUAACUGGGAGAGGUCAACAGAAACUAUCAGGCUUGAGUAUGGGAGAGGGUACUGGAAUUCCCGGUGUAGCGGUGAAAUGCGCAGAGAUCGGGAGGAACACCUAUGGCGAAAGCAGGUACCUGGACCAUUACUGACACUCAGCUGCGAAAGCUAGGGGAGCAAACAGGAUUAGAUACCCUGGUAGUCCUAGCCGUAAACGAUGCACAUUAGACGUGAGGGGUAUCGACCCCCUUCGUGUCGACGCAAACGCAUUAAAUGUGCCGCCUGGGGAGUACGGCCGCAAGGUUGAAACUCAAAGGAAUUGACGG